rnacentral:rRNA from 1 species
UACGAAGGGGGCUAGCGUUGCUCGGAAUCACUGGGCGUAAAGCGCUCGUAGGCGGAUUGUUAAGUCGGGGGUGAAAUCCUGGAGCUCAACUCCAGAACUGCCUUCGAUACUGGCAAUCUUGAGUCCGGGAGAGGUGAGUGGAACUCCGAGUGUAGAGGUGAAAUUCGUAGAUAUUCGGAAGAAUCACAGUGGCGAAGGCGGCUCACUGGCCCGGUACUGACGCUGAGGUGCGAAAGCGUGGGGAGCGAACAGG